rnacentral:lncRNA from 1 species
AGUGGUGCUAACUGAAUGACAUGGGUGUCAGCAGAACAUGCUGUGGCUUCACAACAAUGAAGUGAUAAUGUGAACAUUCUCCAAUGACACAUGCUUUUGCUGCUGCAAUUAUACAAGCGCAAACAACUGUUGCACUUGGAUGUGCCCAGGACCUACAGUCUUCCUCUUUGUGCAUGAUAUGUGGGAGCUCAGGCAUGGAGAAAAAUAUCAGAAAAUCAAAGUUCUGAUGGGCUUUGAGAGGGCCAGGUUAAUAUACUUUUAGUUUUACUUCUGUUAAGAUUAGGUUAAAAGUUCCAUAUUAUCAUCAUCUUUAAGUGCUAAUUAUUUACAAGAUUUCAAUGAAGAAUUCUAACAGAAGAAUCCAUAUUUAAGAUCUGCAGUAGACUGAAUUAAAGGCCUAAAUUCUUCAUCUUUUCCUGUAUCCAUGCCAUUUGCCACCUAACUUUUCAGUUUCUCCCUCUAAAGCAGGGUUUCUUAGUCUCAGCACUAUUGACAUUGGGGCUGGAUAAUUCUUUAAUGUGGAGAGCUGUACUGGGCAUUGUAGGAUGUUUAACUGCAUCCAUGGCUUCUGCCUAAUGGAUAUCAGUAUAUUACUCACCACCUGCGAUUGUGACAACCAAAAAUGCCUCUAGACAUUGCCAAUAUCCUCCCGUGGGGGACAGAAUCUCCUCUAGCUGGGAACUACCACUCUAAAGAUGGGUAGUUCUCACACUGACUUCGGACUCAAGCAAUGUAACUUUCUGUGUCAAAGAAAAACUUGAAAUAUGUUUGUGUAGUGAAGCUUGCUCUCUUGUGCCUCUUAUAUCACCAUGAGCAGAAUGUCUCCAGGGAAGCUGCUCUGUCUUCAUUCUGAGCCCUAGAAUGAAGCAUCUGGGGCACAGCCACCUUGGCUGAUUCAAGAAGUGUGUAUCUGAAGAAGUAUGAUCCAAAGAAGUAGGACCACCCCAGCUACCAAGUCCUGAAGUAGAGUUGUUUCAUCCAACUUCAGACAUGUGAGAAAUAGAUGGACAUUGUAUGCCACUGAGAUUUUGUGGUUGUUUGUUAUGCGGCAAAAGCUGACUGAUACAGACCACUUAGCCAAAGUAAAGUAUAUUCAACUCUUAGUUAUAUUUAUUGGAUUUUUUAGUUGCUUACUAUGUCUUGAGACUCUCCCUCACUCCUGUUUCCUUCCCUGAUUGUAGCUAAUCCUCUCUGUCAAGGAUGCUUCUGCUUCAAACUAAUCCUUCCAGCUCUCUUUUGAGAGAUACCUGCAACCACUUGACCACCUACUUGAUGUGAAUUUAGGCAAUGAACUUGGAUUGUUUGUCCUUUUAGUAUUGAAUUUUAUAGGGAUUCUUUAUACGUUCUGGAUACAAAUCCUUUGUCAGAUAUAUAAAUUGCAAAUAUUUUCCCCAAUCUGUUGCAUUUUUUCAGUUUAAUAGCAUCUUCUGAUGAGCAAAAAGUAAAAGUAAUUUUGAUGAACCUAAUCUAUCUUUUUUUGUCUUUUCUGGUUAGAGCAUUUUUU